rnacentral:rRNA from 1 species
GAGAGGACGAUCAGCCACACUGGGACUGAGACACGGCCCAGACUUCUACGGGAGGCAGCAGUGGGGAAUUUUGGACAAUGGGCGAAAGCCUGAUCCAGCAAUGCCGCGUGUGUGAAGAAGGCCUUCGGGUUGUAAAGCACUUUUGUCCGGAAAGAAAUGGCUCUGGUUAAUACCUGGGGUCGAUGACGGUACCGGAAGAAUAAGGACCGGCUAACUACGUGCCAGCAGCCGCGGUAAUACGUAGGGUCCAAGCGUUAAUCGGAAUUACUGGGCGUAAAGCGUGCGCAGGCGGUUGUGCAAGACCGAUGUGAAAUCCCCGAGCUUAACUUGGGAAUUGCAUUGGUGACUGCACGGCUAGAGUGUGUCAGAGGGGGGUAGAAUUCCACGUGUAGCAGUGAAAUGCGUAGAGAUGUGGAGGAAUACCGAUGGCGAAGGCAGCCCCCUGGGAUAACACUGACGCUCAUGCACGAAAGCGUGGGGAGCAAACAGGAUUAGAUACCCUGGUAGUCCACGCCCUAAACGAUGUCAACUAGUUGUUGGGGAUUCAUUUCCUUAGUAACGUAGCUAACGCGUGAAGUUGACCGCCUGGGGAGUACGGUCGCAAGAUUAAAACUCAAAGGAAUUGACGG